GACGAACGCUGGCGGCGUGCCUAACAUAUGCAAGUCGAGCGAAUGAAAUUCCUUCGGGAACGGAUUUAGCGGCAGACGGGUGAGUAACACGUGGGCAACCUGCCUCAUAGAGGGGAAUAGCCUUCCGAAAGGGAGAUUAAUACCGCAUAAGAUUGUAGUACCGCAUGGUACAGCAAUUAAAGGAGCAAUCCGCUAUGAGAUGGGCCCGCGGCGCAUUAGCUAGUUGGUGAGGUAACGGCUCACCAAGGCGACGGUGCGUAGCCGACCUGAGAGGGUGACCGGACACAGUGGGACUGAGAAACGGCCCAGACUCCUACGGGAGGCAGCAGUGGGGAAUAUUGCACAAUGGGGGAAACCCUGAUGCAGCAACGCCGCGUGAGUGAUGACGGCCUUCGGGUUGUAAAGCUCUGUCUUCAGGGACGAUAAUGACGGUACCUGAGGAGGAAGCCACGGCUAACUACGUGCCAGCAGCCGCCGUAA
rnacentral:rRNA from 1 species